rnacentral:rRNA from 1 species
UACGUACGAGGCAAGCGUUAUCCGGAAUUACUGGCGUAAAGCGCGCGCAGGCGGAUGGUUAAGUAGGGCGUGAAAUCUCCCGGCCUAACUGGAGGGUCGCUCUAGACUGGCCGUCUUGAGGACUGCAGAGGUGGGUGGAAUUCCUGGUGUAGUGGUGAAAUGCGUAGAGAUCAGGAGGAACACCGGUGGCGAAGGCGGCCCACCUGG